rnacentral:rRNA from 1 species
UACGAGGGGGGCAAGCGUUGUUCGGAAUUAUUGGGCGUAAAGGGUGCGUAGGCGGCUUGACAAGUCUGAUGUGAAAUCUAUGGGCUCAACCCAUAGUCUGCAUCGGAAACUGUCGGGCUUGAGUAUGGGAGAGGUGAGUGGAAUUUCCGGUGUAACGGUGAAAUGCGUAGAUAUCGGAAGGAACACCUGUGGCGAAAGCGGCUCACUGGACCAUUACUGACGCUGAGGCACGAAAGCUAGGGGAGCAAACAGG